rnacentral:rRNA from 1 species
CCCGCUGAACUUAAGCAUAUCAAUAAGCGGAGGGAAAGAAACUAACAAGGAUUCCCCUAGUAACUGCGAGUGAAGCGGGAAAAGCUCAAAUUUAAAAUCUGGUGGUCUUUUGGCCAUCCGAGUUGUAAUUUAGAGAAGCGUCUUCCGCGCCGGACCGUGCACAAGUCUCCUGGAAUGGAGCGUCAUAGAGGGUGAGAAUCCCGUCUUUGGCAUGGACACCCGGGGCUUCUGUGAUGCGCUCUCGAAGAGUCGAGUUGUUUGGGAAUGCAGCUCAAAAUGGGUGGUGAACUCCAUCUAAAGCUAAAUAUUGGCGAGAGACCGAUAGCGAACAAGUACCGUGAGGGAAAGAUGAAAAGCACUUUGGAAAGAGAGUGAAACAGUACGUGAAAUUGUUGAAAGGGAAACGCUUGAAGUCAGUCGCGUUGACCGAGACUCAGCCUCGCCUCGGCUUGGUGUACUUCUCGGCUGACGGGCCAGCAUCAAUUUUGUCCCUCGGAUAAUGGCAAGGGAAAGGUGGCACCUUCACCGGUGUGUUAUAGUCUCUUGUCGCAUGCGAGGGGUGGGAUUGAGGAACUCAGCACGCGCCUACUCUGGUGUCGGGGCCGAUUGGCCCACGUUACGUGCUUAGGAUGCUGGCGUAAUGGCUUUAAACGACCCGUCUUGAAACACGG